rnacentral:tmRNA from 1 species
GGGGGUGAUUGGCCUCGACUUGAGUGAGCCGGGGCCAGGUUGCAUGCCGAGGAUGAUGGUUGGCCUCGUUAAACUUCCAUUAAAAAAUGAAUGCUAACGAAACGUUAACGUUCGACCAGGUUGCCGCGGCCUUCGCCACAAGCGAAGCUCCGGCUGGCGCCGAAGCAGUCUUAGUCUAAUAAAAUAGACUAAGCCCUGCGGCAAGGGGGGUCUGUCGCUUUGCCGUUGGAACCAAACAGGCUGGUUUCUCCGCCGCUCUCAGCGGGGAAAUGAGAUCGUUGAGGGCUGGUCUUACGCGGGUUUGUCCGUUGAAACGCGUGAGUCGACAAUAAAGACGGUCUACGCAUGUAGAAGCUUGGUCUUUGACACUGAAGGACCCGGGUUCGAUUCCCGGCACCUCCACCA